UACGUAGGGUGCAAGCGUUAAUCGGAAUUACUGGGCGUAAAGGGUGCGCAGGCGGCCGUGUGUGUGAGGCGUGAAAGCCCGGGGCUUAACCCCGGAAUUGCACCUCAAACUACACGGCUAGAGCAUUGGAGAGGGUAGCAGAAUUCAUGGUGUAGCAGUGAAAUGCGUAGAUAUCAUGAGGAAUACCAGAGGCGAAGGCGGCUACCUGGACAAUUGCUGACGCUCAGGCACGAAAGCGUGGGGAGCAAAAGGG
rnacentral:rRNA from 1 species